AUUGAACGCUGGCGGCAGGCCUAACACAUGCAAGUCGAGCGGAUGAAGGGAGCUUGCUCCUGGAUUCAGCGGCGGACGGGUGAGUAAUGCCUAGGAAUCUGCCUGGUAGUGGGGGAUAACGUCAGGAAACGGGCGCUAAUACCGCAUCCGUCCUGAGGGAGAAAGUGGGGGAUCUUCGGACCUCACGCUAUCAGAUGAGCCUAGGUCGGAUUAGCUAGUUGGUGGGGUAAAGGCCUACCAAGGCGGCGUGCCGUAACUGGUCUGAGAGGAUGAUCAGUCACACUGGAACUGAGCCACGGUCCAGACUCCUACGGGAGGCAGCAGUGGGGAAUAUUGGACAAUGGGCGAAAGCCUGAUCCAGCCAUGCCGCGUGUGUGAAGAAGGUCUUCGGAUUGUAAAGCACUUUAAGUUGGGAGGAAGGGCAGUAAGUUAAUACCUUGCUGUUUUGACGUUACCAACAGAAUAAGCACCGGCUAACUUCGUG
rnacentral:rRNA from 1 species